UCUCAUCUGGACCCUGCUGUGGAGGGGCCACUGAACUCCUCAGGGUCAACAGGAGAGGUCCAGCCGCCUCCAUCCCCUCCAUGAGAGCCCAGGCCAGGACUCCUG
rnacentral:pre_miRNA from 1 species